rnacentral:rRNA from 1 species
UAGCGUAGGGGGCAAGGCGUUGUCCGGAAUCGAUUGGGCGUAAAGCGCGCGCAGGCGGUUUCUUAAGUCUGAUGUGAAAGCCCACGGCUCAACCGUGGAGGGUCAUUGGAAACUGGGGAACUUGAGUGCAGAAGAGAAAAGCGGAAUUCCACGUGUAGCGGUGAAAUGCGUAGAGAUGUGGAGGAACACCAGUGGCGAAGGCGGCUCUCUGGGACGGUACUGACGCUGAGGAGCGAAAGCGUGGGGAGCGAACAGG